UGUAUAAUAAGCUAAAUUUAAGCUGUUGGGUUCAUACCCCAAACAUGAGAUCCUCUUUUACAA
rnacentral:tRNA from 1 species